AAUACGUGCGAAGCGCCGAAGCCGCGAGGCGACGGGCGUUCUCGCCGGAUGUAGGAACCGACCCGGGGACCGCCGGGGCAACCCGGCGCCCCCGAGACGGGGCGAACCACGGUGAAAUGACGGAUCGUCGGCCCCGCGCCGGCGACUCGCCGAAUGAGUUUCUGACCUAUCAACUCGAGACGGCGGGGUAGAGGCCCGCCGCGGUAACGACGGGUAACGGGGAAUCAGGGUUCGAUUCCGGAGAGGGAGCCCGAGAAACGGCUACCACUUCCAAGGAAGGCAGCAGGCGCGCAACUUACCCUAAUCUCGAUUCGAGGAGGUAGUGACAAGAAAUACCGAUGCGGGACCCUACGGGUGCCGCGUUCGGAAUGAGUACGAUUCGAACCACCUAACGAGGAACGAUCGGAGGGCAAGUCUGGUGCCAGCAGCCGCGGUAAUUCCAGCUCCAAUA
rnacentral:rRNA from 1 species